AACAACCCUUGGAAGCUAGAAAGGACACAAGAGAGUUAACCCUGGAGACAAAUUGCAUGGUGAGAAGGACGUGCCUAUGCAAGCCCGAUGAUCCAAGGAAGAACAUCGAUUCCCAGGAGAGAACUGAACCACUGACAGUGUCUCAGCCAAGGUCAUAUCAGAUCAACUAAAAGACAGCUGAGGCUGAGGCGUAUGUGGUAACCCAGCCAAGACCGGCAGAGCGUCCUGCAGACCCCCUGCACAUAUUAGCAUUCCAGGAAGUGGAUGGAUUCAGGCAACAGCUCACAUGCUGGCUUUCAGACCAUGUCCGUCAUCAGUGGAGUCUUCACCCGGUGCCCAGGCAAUCCUGCACUGGGAUCUUGGACUGUCUCAGCCCCAGCCAGAGGGACAGGGUUCCUCCCACACUGGCCUCCUCUUUCAAUGAUAAUUUUGUGGAGGAGCCUGUAACACCUGUCAUUUAGAGAUGCUCACAGUGUGGAUGGAGUACAGAGAGCUAGAAAGGGACUAGAAGGGAGUUCUCCUUCAAAGAAGAGCCUGACAGUUACAAGAAACAGCCCCCUGGGAGACAUCUCGCCUGGGAGACACCCUGCAGCCAUCCAUCUCCCUGAGACAUCCUGCGGCCAUCUGUCUUCCUGAAACAUCCUGCGUUAUCUCGCCUUGUGAAGACAUCCAGAAACUGCCAAUAAGAGAGCUUCCCCCAUCUCCAGCACAUAAAUACCCCUGUGUGAACAAUAAAAGUUUGCAGCUUGAUCAGAA